rnacentral:tRNA from 1 species
GCCUGGCCAGCUCAGUGGGUAGAGCAUGCGACUCUUGAUCUCAGGGUUGUGAGUUUGAGCCCCACGUUGGGCG